GAUGAACGCUGGCGGCGUGCCUAAUACAUGCAAGUCGAGCGAACGGACGAGAAGCUUGCUUCUCUGAUGUUAGCGGCGGACGGGUGAGUAACACGUGGAUAACCUACCUAUAAGACUGGGAUAACUUCGGGAAACCGGAGCUAAUACCGGAUAAUAUUUUGAACCGCAUGGUUCAAAAGUGAAAGACGGUCUUGCUGUCACUUAUAGAUGGAUCCGCGCUGCAUUAGCUAGUUGGUAAGGUAACGGCUUACCAAGGCAACGAUGCAUAGCCGACCUGAGAGGGUGAUCGGCCACACUGGAACUGAGACACGGUCCAGACUCCUACGGGAGGCGGCAGUAGGGAAUCUUCCGCAAUGGGCGAAAGCCUGACGGAGCAACGCCGCGUGAGUGAUGAAGGUCUUCGGAUCGUAAAACUCUGUUAUGAGGGAAGAACAUAUGUGUAAGUAACUGUGCACAUCUUGACGGUACCUAAUCAGAAAGCCACGGCUAACUACGUG
rnacentral:rRNA from 1 species